rnacentral:rRNA from 1 species
AUUGAACGCUGGCGGCAUGCCUUACACAUGCAAGUCGAACGGCAGCACGGGAGCAAUCCUGGUGGCGAGUGGCGAACGGGUGAGUAAAGUAUCGGAACGUGCCCAGUCGUGGGGGAUAACGUAGCGAAAGUUACGCUAAUACCGCAUACGAUCUAUGGAUGAAAGCGGGGGAUCGCAAGACCUCGCGCGAUUGGAGCGGCCGAUAUCAGAUUAGGUAGUUGGUGGGGUAAAGGCUCACCAAGCCGACGAUCUGUAGCUGGUCUGGGAGGACGACCAGCCACACUGGGACUGAGACACGGCCCAGACUCCUACGGGAGGCAGCAGUGGGGAAUUUUGGACAAUGGGCGAAAGCCUGAUCCAGCCAUGCCGCGUGCAGGAUGAUGGCCUUCGGGUUGUAAACUGCUUUUGUACGGAACGAAAAGGUUUGGCCUAAUAAGCUGAGCUCAUGACGGUACCGUAAGAAUAAGCACCGGCUAACUACGUGCCAGCCGCCGCAGUAA